AUGGCGGGCGCCACCGCCGCCGCUCCGAUGGACAUCGACGGCGCCGCCGCCGCGCCCCCGGCCUUCAAGGGCAAGGCGCCGCUCUCCGCCGCCGCCGCCGUCAAGUCCUCGCCCUGGGUCGAGAAGUACCGGCCCCAGUCCCUCGCCGACGUCGCCGCCCACCGCGACAUCGUCGACACCAUUGAUAGGCUUACAGAUGAGAAUAGGCUUCCACAUUUGUUGCUCUACGGUCCACCUGGCACUGGGAAAACAUCAACAAUACUAGCUGUCGCGAGGAAGAUAUAUGGCUCACAGUAUGGCAACAUGAUUCUGGAGCUCAAUGCAUCAGAUGAACGUGGAAUUGGUGUUGUCAGGCAGCAGAUACAGGACUUUGCUAGUGCACACAGCCUCUCUUUUGGAGCAAAGCCUGCUGUUAAGUUGGUCCUCUUGGAUGAAGCAGAUGCCAUGACCAAGGAUGCACAAUUUGCAUUGCGAAGAGUCAUUGAGAAGUAUACAAGGAGCACAAGGUUUGCACUCAUAUGCAAUCAUGUGAACAAAAUCAUCCCAGCACUGCAAUCAAGGUGCACUAGGUUUAGGUUUGCUCCACUUGAUGGCUCUCAUGUUACUGAGCGUCUUCGACAUAUAAUAAAAUCUGAGGGGCUUGAUGUAGAUGAGGGUGGCUUGACUGCCCUUGUUCGGUUAAGUAAUGGUGACAUGAGGAAGUCUUUGAAUAUAUUGCAGUCAACACACAUGGCAUCCCAGCAAAUAACAGAAGAAGCUGUCUACCUUUGCACGGGAAACCCCAUGCCUAAAGAUAUUGAGCAGAUAGCGUUUUGGUUACUAAAUGAACCAUUUUCAACCAGCUUCAAACAUAUAGCUGAUAUGAAGAUGAGAAAAGGUCUGGCCUUGAUUGAUNNNNNNNNNNNNNNNNNNNNGUUUGUGUUCAAAAUAAAAAUGCCAUCCAAUGUACGAGUAAAGUUGAUCAAUGAUUUGGCAGAUAUCGAGUAUCGGCUUACCUUUGCUUGCAACGAUAAACUGCAGCUUGGGGCACUGAUCUCGACUUUCACGACUGCUCGCACGGCUAUGGUUGCUGCCGCCGACUAA
rnacentral:rRNA from 1 species